UGUAUUCGACUGUGUUCGACUGUAUUCACAGCGUGAAACAGGGGAUUACACUGUAUUUAAACGGAAAGUGAAUCAAUUAACAUAAUAGACUCCU
rnacentral:pre_miRNA from 1 species